UGUCACUGCUCCAGAAAGUCUCCACAAGCCCGUUACACUGCUGUCCCCUGUUGUGACUGCUCUGGUGCCCUCUCCCACCAUGGAAGAGUUCAUACUGUCCGUUCUCCAUGGGGGAUGAGCAACUCCAAAUUUGCCCUGGGCAUGGGAGACUAACCACUAACGUACUGCAAAACCUCACCCACUUUCCAUGGCACACCCUGACCGUAACGUUAUUAUUGUUUCUACCGUCAUACCUGUGGUGUGGCCAGGUGGUAAUGGUGAGGCAAGAAAAAUGCAAUCACGAAACUCCUGCAAGGGUUUCAGAGAUGGAACGAAAUGACCCUUUUUGCACAUCCACUGGGAGCUGUGAAAACAGAUGCGUUACUUGAAGCCUCUUUUCUCUUUUGAAUUGACAGCAACCCACCUGCACAGCAUUAGGAAAUUCAGUGCUGAAGAAGGUGAGUGCUCAGGGAAAGGCAGCAGCACUUUACAACUGUGGGGAGCCACAGGGACUGUUAGUGUGUCCCAUCCUAGGCAGGGAAGGGAUCCAUAGAUCCCUUAGAUCCCACUAAGGACGUUUCACAUUUGUACAUAUUUCUAAAGGCACAUUUCACACCCUUGGCAUUCUUGCUAGGCUUGUGUGGGGAAACCAAGAGACAAUCUGGACCCUCUCAAGGGAAGCUGCAACAGCUCAGCCAUCCCCAAGAACAGUGGCACUAGCCAAACCCAAGCAAGACUUCGGCAAGCACCAUUGCAGGUUUCCAGGUUUGCUCUGCAAGCCAUUGCAAGCCCUCGGACCCUAGAGCUGGCUCAGGCAAAAAGACUGAACCCUGACUAUGUGCCCCCACGGGAUGCUCAGUGGCCAGUGACAGAGGCCACGAAACAGGCAGUGGCCACACCAAGGCUUGUGGAACUGGCCCAGCCUUGUAAAAGGCCUCCUAUGGACGUGGCUCAGUUCAACCCAGAUGCCUUCACCGUGAAGGAGAGUGCUAAGAAGGCAACUUGUUCCGCUCGGAUCCAAGAUCUGGCUCGUCCGAUUAAGCGCUAAGCUUCCUCAGAAACACACUGCUGCUCUUGCUGGCUGCCCCCAUCACCCCUUGGAAGAUCACCUACUUCGGGUUUUCCUGCAGCUGGAAAACCUCACGGACACGCAGUGCAGAGGCAGCACCCAGCAAGAGUGCUUUCUUACAAGCAGCUCCCUCUUACUGGGGUUAUCUGGGGAGUUAAGUAAAAUAGUCGUUCCUUAAGAACAAAAUGGUUACCGGGGAAAAGAGCAGAAUCUGACCUAAUGUGGGAAGCCUCUUUCCCUAGGGAGGAUUGUGUCUGGGGUUUAUCACUCUUGUUUUGCCCUAAAAGUCAGAGAAGUAAUGAAAUAACUGUUGGGGAAGCCAGCAUAGGAACUGUUCCUUCACAUAAGGGUAGCAAAUCAAAGCUGACGGCGUGCAGGAUGAUGCAACGCAGCUCCUGACCUUGGGUUUCAAAAUGUUUGCUAAAGUUUAGAGAUCUUAGUGGCACUCAAAGUUAUGUGCUUGUGACAGAAAUAGGGUCACUGGGUAAUGGUGUGAGUUAUUUUUUAGCC